GGAAAUUAUGGUUGAAAUGACUAAUUAUGUAUACAUUCCAAUCAGAACUGACUAGUCCAAAUGCUAUAAUGUACUGUACAUGUGAAUUUUCUCUCUUGCUCCCAUUCCCAAUUGUAUAUAAUGUUGUCAGGAGUUUAGUAACAAUGAAGGUCUGUUCCUUAGUUCAUUCAGUUGUACAAAUCUCCAGGUGGUGGGAACGGGCCAUCUCCAGAUUGUCGGGAAUGUUGAUUUAUGCUGACUGGCCUUGACUUCGUGCUGAUAACGCGAGGGCUCAAGAGCUAGAGGGGCCCUCUGUUUGUGAAAUGGAAGGUUUGGAAAACGCUGACGUCAUUUUCAGUUUAUAACCUGUGGAAAUGUGUGUAAGCAUUUAGUACUCUCUUGUAAUAAACGCUGUUACUUUUGGCUUUUAAGACUGGUCUCAAUCUACUUCAUGCAUAAUUAAUGAACUUACAAUUCAUUAAUGAAUUAGAAAUGAGUGCAAAUUGGUUUUGGCAAUAAAACAUAAAGGAAUUUAGAAUUCCUCUAUCAAUUUGGUCCUUCGAGUGCCGGAUCUAAAUAUCUCUCACUGUGCCUGGAGGUAGUACGCUGGAAAACGUGCACGGACGAGUUUUUGACUCGUUUUACUAAAGACCUGACCUCUGAAUUGAGGUUAAAAUUGAAACAGGCCUGCGUAUUAUCACAGAGGACAGAGAGAGUGACUAGAUUCAAACGAACAGUGCUUCCCAGCCGGCAGCCAGUUUUAUGCCCAGCAGGAGAACUACAGAAGGAGGUGGCACACGAGAUUCAACCAGGAGACGGUCUGGGUCCAAUCACUAAAGAAAAAAAACUGGAAGCAGCCUCGGUGGGAGGGACCAUUCCAAGUACUACUGGUGACUGCCUUCGCUGUGAGAUUAGCCGAAAGAGCUACCUGGGUGCAUGUCACACAUUGUAAGAGGGUAAGACACACUAACACUAUCGAACAAUCACAGGAGUAGAAGAGGAACCGUGACCCAUAUGGAACGGGGGUCAAACUCCUUCUGAAGAUUCCCUACACCCGACCUUUCCCCAGCUGUGAGCGUUCAUAGAAGUGAAGUGAUGGCUUGGCCUCUGGCUGUUGAUAUGUUCUCGGGGAGAGGGUGGGGCUUCACGUGUGCACUGACCGUCCUGAGCUGUUUUAUUGUGGGGGCCAUAUUCCUGAUUCACCAUGAUCCCCCGGAAAAUGCCAAAGAGGAUAAUUUGACUCAUGUGCUAGAUGAGGGAAAUGGGAUGUUACCAAAGAUUCUCAAAAGGUCACUGAAACAAAACAGUAAGGAAGUGAGGGUGGAAUUGGGCAAGGAUCUCUCAGUAGAAUUUUGUGUAGACCAAUUGGGGUCAUUCACUCCUUGGCAGUCUAGAACCAUGGGACUCUAUGGGAAGUAUUUGUGUAAAUCACCGUUUAAUUCGUGGAGCCAUGUCAUAGCUCACACUGAAAGGGAUGGCUACGUAAACCCAUACACUCAAUUUGGGACCAGGUGGAGUAUAGUAAGGGUUGGCGUUUUGGACUGUGUUCCCGAGCAGAGGAAGUAUUGUAUAAAGGUGCAAAUUAACAUUAAGGCGGUCAAUACUCAGGACCUCGGGUUAUGGUAUGUGGGCUUCGACCAGUUUUCAACUGAUACUAUGGUACCGUUCCAGGUGGCAGAAGUUAGAGUCGAUAAGGAGAAUAUGAUUGGCCGAAGUUCAACCAAUCCCUCUAACACAACGGCUAUUCCUAGUGUAAUCAUCCAGGGUAAAGGACCAGUACGAAUAGUUCAGACCAAAGACCUUAAAGAAGUUAUAGAGGUGGAGACUGGGUUUGGGGAGUCCAACUUAUGGUUGGAAUGGAUUCAAUAUACGGCCAGAUCAGUGGCUAAAGAAGAAUGUUAUGCCUGUGCGAACGCUAAACCCCAGUUAACAACUAUCCCUUUCCCACUGAACGGAAUUAAUUCCCCUAAGGGAAUGGCAUGUAUUGUAAAGCUGUUCAUGAAAGCAGGAAUGCCAGAUAAUGACAGUUGUAUUGAUUUGCACUAUUUAUAUCCCCAGGUUCCCCUUAAAUCAAGACUUCCUCCCUUUACCGUGACGAGAGGAGAAUAUUACUGUUUGGCCCGAUACAGUACACAUGGGAAAUACGUGGGGGAAGUUAGUACUCGCAAUAGGACAGAGAAUAUUACCACUGACGAGACCAUGUCUGAUUUGACAGGCUGGUUGAACUCUGGAGAUUUCAAUAUGUUGAAGUGGGCCAGGGCGACAUCUGGUGGUUGUGCGGGGGAAUGAGUUUGUGGCCAGUAUUGCCGACUGAUUGGACUGGUUAGGAAUGCCUUUUACACUCAUACAACACCAAGACAUGAAGUUAGACAAACGAGAGAAGAGAAGCUCCAUCUGGGUCUUUUGACGACAGAGUAUAUAUUGAUAACAUUGGGGUUCCACGAGGUGUGCCGAAUGAGUUCAAGGCAAGAAAUCAGAUACUAGCAGGAUUAGAGUCAAGCAUUUUCGGGGUUCUACUCUUACAAGAGCGUGGACUGGAUUAAUUAUAGUUAUGAUAAUCAACAGCGCUUUAGCAGGAAUACCAAAGGUGUAAUUAAAGGUUUUGUAGAACAGACUGAAGCAACCAGCUGGAAGACCUGACAGAAUAGAAUUGCAUUAGAUAAAAGGGGAAAGUGGGCGUGAUAAUCAGGACCAUGUCUUACAUCCCGGGGUAACACAGCUCCGGACGAAUCAGUGCCCGAAGCCUCAGCUGGUUUGACCACCCUGGCUCACGGGUUGGCAGAAAACUCUGGGGUGAAUACUUCCCUGACUAAUUGGUUUGAUAGUACAUUUGGAAAAUGGAAAAAUGUUAUGAUCACUGUGUUAUGGGCGGCAUCCACCUGCAUGACUGUUUUAAUUUUAUGCGGCUGUUGUCUAAUUCCCUGUGUGCGAGGCCUUGUUUCCAGGACUCUGGAGAGAUCAAUGACACUACAGAUGGUGCGUUAUGGGCCGAUUCCAGGUUCUGACCUGUGGAGGACUGAAGGCAUGUCUACAGAGGAAGUAGACGAAUCUGGAUCUGUCAUUUGUGGGGAAUUUAUGUUUGAUGAGAAUAGUGUUGAGAUGAAGGGGAAUUAGAUUGUAAUUUGUUUCAAUGAUUAAACAGUUUUUUAAUAAAGAUUGUAAAAAAAUAAAAUAAAAAUCCUGAAAGAGAAGUUAUGAUUCUGAUGUAGGUUUAAAAACAGUUGGAGUUAAGGUUAGAUUUGAUUAAUGAUGGGUGAAGAGUCGGGUAAACAUUUAUAAUAAUAUUUUUAUUUUGUAGAUUUGAAUGUAUAAUAUUUGAUCAAAGGGAGGCUUGAUAGAGGAAAUUAUGGUUGAAAUGACUAAUUAUGUAUACAUUCCAAUCAGAACUGACUAGUCCAAAUGCUGUAAUGUACUGUACAUGUGAAUUUUCUCUCUUGCUCCCAUUCCCAAUUGUAUAUAAUGUUAUCAGGAGUUUAGUAAAAAUGAAGGUCUGUUCCUUAGUUCAUUCAGUUGUACAAAUCUCCAGGUGGUGGGAACGGGCCAUCUCCAGAUUGUCGGGAAUGUUGAUUUAUGCUGACUGGCCUUGACUUCGUGCUGAUAACGCGAGGGCUCAAGAGCUAGAGGGGCCCUCUGUUUGUGAAAUGGAAGGUUUGGAAAACGCUGACGUCAUUUUCAGUUUAUAACCUGUGGAAAUGUGUGUAAGCAUUUAGUACUCUCUUGUAAUAAACACUGUUACUUUUGGCUUUUAA